CUACUUCUCUGUAGUGACCAGCAGGGGGCGACUCCUCUGCUCCCAUAGACGUCUAUGAGGAAAUGACUCUACUUCUCUGUAGUGACCAGCAGGGGGCGACUCCUCUGCUCCCAUAGACGUCUAUGAGGAAAUGACUCUACUUCUCUCUUGAUUUAUUCCCUCAGUAAACAUUGUAAACAUGAGUUUAUGGUCUCAGUCUCUAGUUUAAGUCUUCUUCAACACAACAUGAUGUUCAUUUAGUGACUGAUGGUCCAUGUAGAGUCAAACAGACCAUAAAGCAGAGGACGCUUUAGGACAGGUCUCUAGCAGAGACGUAUACGCCGUCUCUACGUCAUUCUCACUUCACAAGACAUCCACAAACCGAUGGAACCAGAGAGCUUAGAUGUGAUAAUAAAAGUCUUGUGUGUCAUUUUCAGCGUAGCAUAGCAUGUGGCGCUGCCACAGCAGAGCCACAUGCUUCUGAAGGUGAACGUGAAGCACGAAGACAUGAAUCCUCAUCAGCUUACUGCUGUCAGCAGAUGCAUGAUGGGAAAUCCCCCAUCUCAGCCCUUCCUGGACCUCUUCCGAGGAGCUCUACAGGGGUCUGUAAUUGGUUACCAGUAUCAGGAGGAGGAGCACGUCCUCGCUGCCUGUGAAGGCUGAAUGUUUACAGACCUCCAUCAGGGAGCGCUGCCAUCCUCCAUCAGCCCCUUAAUGUGGAGGGAAUCUCCCCAAGCACUGCAGACACGCUUUAAUUCUGACUCAUGGACGUUGUCUUGUCUGUGAAGACGACAGUGGCGCAGUGGUAGAGAGGGAGUGCCGGGAACCGCAAGGUUGGCGGUUCAAGCCCCAGCUGCUCCACGUCCAGUGUCCAAGUGUCCCUGAGCAAGACACCUACUUUCUCCCCGGGGGUUAAAAAUGUAAUGUAAGUCGCUUUGGAUAAAAGCGUCAGCUAAAUGACCUGUAAUCAUUAAAACAUGUGUCACGCUUAGGAGGGUACCUGAGCAGGUAGUACACAGCAUACCUGAGCAGGUAGUACAGAGCGUACCUGAGCAGGUAGUACACAGCAUACCUGAGCAGGUAGUACAGAGCGUACCUGAGCAGGUAGUACACAGCAUACCUGAGCAGGUAGUACAGAGCGUACCUGAGCAGGUAGUACACAGCAUACCUGAGCAGGUAGUACAGAGCGUACCUGAGCAGGUAGUACACAGCAUACCUGAGCAGGUAGUACAGAGCGUACCUGAGCAGGUAGUACACAGCGUACCUAAUCCUUGAGUGGACCAUCUGCUCAUUGGUCCUGAGAGCAUCCUCCUCGUGUCAGUAGCAGGUUAAACGAUGACUCAGACAGGUGUGUGUUUGUACCUCAGUGUUCCUCAGUAUGCAAAUAUGUGAGCGUGUGAAUGAUUCAGAGAUGUCAAGUGAGCUCAUGAAUAUUAAGCAGGACGCUUGUUGAGCUGUGAAUAUUGCAUGGAGAGUGAAAGUGAGCAGAGACAGGAGCUGGUUGGCUGUGAGAGGACAUUAGAUAACCCAUGGACGUACUUUGAGAAAAACAUUGAUUGAUAGAAAUCAGUAUAAUUAGAAAUCUGCGUCUGUGAAGAAGAAGCUUCUGUAGAGCUGAAUAGAUGCUGCAAAGAAAACAGACGUCUGUGAUGGAACAUUAAGUCCACACACACACACACAUAGUGAGCCACAGAGCUGCAGGUGGUUGAGUCUGUUUGGGUUUAAAGUAUCUGUCUGCUGAGGCUCAUUAGACAUGUGACUCUAUCAGGAUGAAGACAGUAAGUGUGUGUGUUUUUCUGUGUUCUUCCGUCUGACUGGAGAAUGUGCUGCGUGUUUCUGUCCAACCGUCGUUUUUGUGUGUCAGGAAUCAGGAAUCAGGAAACAUUUAUUGCCAAAAUAUGUCAAACAUACAAGGAAUUUGUCUUGGCGGUUGGUGCGUGACAGUAGACAGUGUAACAAUAGACAACAAGACAGCAGUGCACAAGUAAUAAAAUGAAGUAAAAUGAAGUGAAAUGAAGUAUAUAAAACAAGUAUAAAACAAGAAUAAAGUUAAAGUUAAAAAUUUAAAAUAUUAAAAAAGUUAAAAAAUAUUAAGCAUAAAGUGCACUAGCGAACAAGUAGCAAAGUGACGAGUGACGACAAAGUGAGAAAUGACAGUUAAAGUGACAUGUGCAGUGUGAAGGGGAGUGACCGGUGGAGUGUUAGAGUCAGUCAGUGGGGGACCGGCUCUGUUGAUGAGCCCGACUGCUGACGGGAAGAAACUGUUGGUGUGGCGGGAGGUCUUAGUCCUGAUGGACCUCAGCCUCCUGCCAGAUGGAAGGGGCACAGACAGGUUUUGUCCGGGGUGAGAGGGGUCGGCUACCAUCUUUUUAGCUGCUUCAGAGACCUGGAAGUGAACAAGUCCUGCAGGGACGGCAGAUUGGAGCCGAUCACCCUCUCUGCAGAGCGGAGGACACGCUGCAGCCUGCCCUUGUCCUUGGCUGUGGCUGCAGCGUACCAGACGCUGAUGGAGGAGCAGAGGAUGGACUCCAUGAUGGCCGUGUAGAAGUGGA
ensembl:lncRNA